rnacentral:rRNA from 1 species
UGGGGAAUUUUGCACAAUGGGGGAAACCCUGAUGCAGCGACGCCGCGUGAUUUAGAAGGCCUUCGGGUUGUAAAAAUCUUUUGUAUGGGAAGAAAAUUACAGUACCAUACGAAUAAGGACCGGCUAAUUACGUGCCAGCAGCCGCGGUAAUACGUAAGGUCCGAGCGUUGUCCGGAAUCAUUGGGCGUAAAGGGUACGUAGGCGGAUAAGCAAGUUAGAAGUGAAAUCCUAUAGCUCAACUAUAGUAAGCUUUUAAAACUGCUCAUCUUGAGGUAUGGAAGGGAAAGUGGAAUUCCUAGUGUAGCGGUGAAAUGCGCAGAUAUUAGGAGGAAUACCGGUGGCGAAGGCGACUUUCUGGCCAUAUACUGACGCUGAGGUACGAAAGCGUGGGUAGCAAACAGG